GUUUGUGGUACAUGACCAUGAAGCAGGAGCAGCAGGGCUGGGGUUGCUGGUAGCAUCUCACAAGCAGCUGAAAAUUCCUUCCUUUGAUCUUCUUUCUGACUCUUAAUGAAGUUGUGGGAUCUGGCUUCCCGCAUCGCGCCUGUUGUUCCCGCUCCGCUUCGCUGCCUGACGGUGAUGGAGCGGGGAGAAGGUUCAGUCCAGUUACUGCUUGCUGUAUGGAUGUAAAGCUCCCUCCAGAGGGUCACUCCACGCCACAAACUCUGUGGGCUCCCUUGAGGAAAGUGAUGUGCUGUUCCCUGGGAAACACCCACCUAAAGAAGGGGGCUAUGGUUGAUUCUUCAGGAGUUUUAGCUUUGAAAGCUGGCAAAGAGAUUUGUCUGUCUGGUGAUUACAUUUAACAGGCUUCUGUCCGAGCGCAGGAAAAUCACUGAGGAAUGCUAAGGAAAAGGCUGAUUUCCGGACUAGCUGAAAGCGUGCAGCAUCUUCCAGGAUCAGACCCGGACACUUUUGUCUGGAGAGCUGAUAUUUCUGUAGCUCUUCCCGUUCUCCAAGCCCUCUGUAGGUGUGAAGUAUUUCGUUUGCAUCCAGCAAAUGGAACAAUAAGGGAGGACUUCAUUUUCCCAUCUGUCAACUAGUCCUGAACAAACUGUACGCCGCUCUCUUUGCAGAGAGAUCUUUUAGCUAAAUUAAAAGCUUUGGUGUUCACUUGCAUGUAACAGAGGAAUUCUGUCAUCACAUUUCUGAUUGAGGUUUUGGUUUAAAUGCUCUGCAAAUCCCUGAAGAUCUGUUUGUGUAACUGGGAGACGGUGGCUCUAUCUUGGGUAACCCAAAGUAACGCGCAUCACAGUGUUGAAGCCAGGUUUUGGAGGGAGCUGGAGCUGUGUGUUCAGGUCGAUUAGUGGUAUUGGGAAGGGUAAAUUCCCACCCAGGGCUUUGGAGAGAUUGCCCUGCUGAUGCAAACCUCUGUUCUGCCCUUCUGAGGAUGGCUGAGCACAGGCUGGUCUUUGUUGCUUCCCAGCCUGUCAGACAGCCAUGGUAUAAUGCUGUUUGUCUUGGGCUUGACCCCCUGAGGCUGUACUCCAGCAAACAAAGUGCCUUGGGUUGGUUUCAGUACGUGCUGAUGCUUCGUUUAAGAACAUGUUGGUGGGCUCUUGCACUUGCAGGACUUGUUGGUGUUGGCUGUGCAGGUGAUGGCAGUUCUAGGCCACAUAGUGCUGCUCUUUUUCCUCCUCAAACCUGGGUCUGGAGCAGCUAUAAACAUCAGUGGUGCUUUGGGGUGUGCAGGUUUCCCCCUUCCCUUAUGCAUAGACAAGCCUUGUGCUCAUCUCCCCAUAGGUGUUGUCUGUCCUCCCCCUUGCCACCACCCCAGCAUGACCCAGCUGGCAGGCUCAGAUAAGGGUUGAAUGGGGAGAUAAGAAGCUCUUUUCCUUCUCCUCCCUCAUCUGGAGCACCAGCAAAUGGUGGAAUCCCACAAGCUCUGUUAAACACAUGGGAAAGGGGCUGCCAAAUGAAAUGGGUCACACAUAGACACAGGCACCAGUCUCUGAAAGACAGGUUCAUCAAAUACAGAUCUUUGAGAGAAGUGAAAUGAGGAAAAAUAAAAUCAGGGCCAGGUUCCCCCUUCUCCUCAGCAUCCCCCAUUGUGUCUCUUAAGAAGCCACCCUUGAAGCUCCAGGUUUUACCUUGAGCAAACCCAUGUUAUGUGAUGUGGCAAAGACACACCCUGAAAGAGACAGGUAGGAAUUUGGCUUUGGAGCUAUUUCCACUGGAAAACAAAAGGGUUUCUAUGAUGGUCCAGAGCAAGUGCCAGUUAAAGGGUAUGAACUCUUUUUGUACUGUGGUAAAUGCAGACUAUUACUAGGAAGGUUCAUACAAGCCGUCAGUCGCUUUUUCUACCCUUCUUCAUUAGGCAGGCUGAGUGCAAUGUGAUGUAGUCCAGCAAUCUGAGAAAACAGGGCAAAUAAGUAACUCUUGUUUGUCUGUUUCUCCCUUGGUAAUGCACUUUUAGAGUGACAUCCACGGGUGCAGCAACGCGUCCGUUAUGGGACCUAAAAUAACAGAGCAGAAGGAAACUGUGGCAGGGCUCUGGCAGGAAUCCUCCGGGCUUUAUGGCUAGUGUGAUUGCUGCUGCAACAUGUGCUGCCUUACAAAGGAGGCGUGAUAGCUUCAUCACACCACUGAUCCUGAACUAGAAGAGGACAUAAAGAGGCAGCUAUUGACUGGCUCGGGUCUUCCCUGCUCUGAGCCUUGGCGUCAGAAGCUGCUGCCGCUGCGAUUUCAGCAUCGGUAUCCAUAGCACGAGCCCUGGAGCAGAUUGGGUUCAAGAGUUUUUGCUGGGUUGUGCUGGAGCGGGGAUAAAUUAUGAUGUCAAAACAGAGAGAUGUUGUCACACAACCAUCUCCCCUUGCAGGGUCAAGGUUCUGCUUUAUAGCUUGGAAACCCAUUAGUCCAUUUGAAAGCAUAUGGCCAAGAAUGGACAAAAAAUAGUCUUGUGUGUUUGGGUCAGAGCUACAGACAAAAGGCUCUUUGUGCUAAGAGCUGACAAUGACAAAUAAAGAGGAACCUGUUGAUCUAGGAGAGAAAUGGAGGAUUAUGAAAAGAUCACAUGGAUUUCAGGUGAUUAACUCCCCCUCUCUAAAGUUUAACACCACAUGCAGCCAAGAUGCCGUCAAUCUUCCUUUUCUAAGUAAAAGAAAAAAGUACUGUAGUUUUAGCUCGGGAAUGGAGGUGACUGACAACAAGAAGACUGUUUUGGAGGUGCUCUUACCUGCUCUGGUUACACCCCAGUUGCAUUACUUGAUGAGCAUGUCCUUUUGAAACGAAGACAGAAUCAUGACAGACCUGAGUGGUGCCAUCAGUGACAGAGCUGCAGCAGAGCUGGAGCAACUGAAAGCCCCUUUGAAAAUGACUGUGUGUUGACAAAGUCUUUUCUUGGCAAAGAAACCAUCAUCUAAGCCUCCGGAGUAGAGAGGAACAAAAUUUCAUUACAUGUAAAUAAUUGUCUAAAAAUAGAAGCACAGAUUGCUUUUCACAUUAAGUUCCUUCUUCACGGUAAAGUAUAUACUGCAUUAAAAAAGAAGUGACUAGCAGCAGUCCAAGCUGAAAAAUAAAGGGCCUGUUGUUAGCUUUAUUUGUAAAAACA